GCGUGUGUGAAGAAGGCCCUAGGGUUGUAAAGCACUUUCAGUCGUGACGAUGAUGACGGUAACGAUAGAAGAAGCCCCGGCUAACUCCGUGCCAGCAGCCGCGGUAAUACGGAGGGGGCAAGCGUUGUUCGGAAUUACUGGGCGUAAAGGGCGCGUAGGCGGCCAAGUCAGUCAGGCGUGAAAGCCCAGGGCUCAACCCUGGAAUUGCGCUUGAUACUGCUUGGCUCGAGACCGGAAGAGGGUAGUGGAAUUCCCAGUGUAGAGGUGAAAUUCGU
rnacentral:rRNA from 1 species